ACGCUCGACACCUACGAGAGGCAGCAGUGGGGAAUAUUGCACAAUGGGGGAAACCCUGAUGCAGCGACGCCGCGUGAAGGAAGAAGUAUCUCGGUAUGUAAACUUCUAUCAGCAGGGAAGAAAGUGACGGUACCUGACUAAGAAGCCCCGGCUAACUACGUCACGCAGCCGCGGUAAUCUGAGCGGGCUGGCAAGGC
rnacentral:rRNA from 1 species